UACGGAGGAUCCGAGCGUUAUCCGGAUUUAUUGGGUUUAAAGGGUGCGUAGGCGGAUCGUUAAGUCAGUGGUCAAAUUGAGGGGCUCAACCCCUUCCCGCCAUUGAAACUGGCGAUCUUGAGUGGAAGAGAAGUAUGCGGAAUGCGUGGUGUAGCGGUGAAAUGCAUAGAUAUCACGCAGAACCCCGAUUGCGAAGGCAGCAUGCCGGCUUCCUACUGACGCUGAAGCACGAAAGCGUGGGGAUCGAACAGG
rnacentral:rRNA from 1 species